rnacentral:rRNA from 1 species
UUCGUAGGGCGCAAGCGUUAUCCGGAAUUAUUGGGCGUAAAGAGCUCGUAGGCGGUUUGUCGCGUCUGCCGUGAAAGUCCGGGGCUCAACUCCGGAUCUGCGGUGGGUACGGGCAGACUAGAGUGAUGUAGGGGAGACUGGAAUUCCCGGUGUAGCGGUGAAAUGCGCAGAUAUCGGGAAGAACACCCGUGGCGAAGGCGGCUCUCUGGAACGCAACUGACGCUGAGACGCGAAAGCGUGGGGAGCAAACAGG